rnacentral:rRNA from 1 species
GAGCCUUGAUGUGUAGGAUAGGUGGGAGGCUUUGAAGUGUGGACGCCAGUCUGCAUGGAGCCGACCUUGAAAUACCACCCUUUAAUGUUUGAUGUUCUAACGUUGGCCCCUGAUCGGGGUUGCGGACAGUGUCUGGUGGGUAGUUUGACUGGGGCGGUCUCCUCCUAAAGAGUAACGGAGGAGCACGAAGGUUGGCUAAUCCUGGUCGGACAUCAGGAGGUUA